GCUGUGGAGUUCUCAUAAAAUUCAAAGGAUGAACAGGCCUUUAAGUCUCAAUUGCAUAAGCUGUGUCAGGAGACUCAGUUACAUUGUGAUGAACUUCUCCCUACUACACUUUUGAGGAUUAGAUCCAUGCCCAUUAGGAGGACUGGAUUCUCUCCUAUAAGAUAAUGUACGUGAGGCCCCCCUCUUAUUAGAGGACCAUUGGAAGACUUAAGAGAGAUAGGAGAAUUUACCUUGAGAUGACAGCUACAGGUCUUAGGGAAAACUUUACAGGUUCUCAACCAAUGGGUUAGAGAAAGUUUGCGACUAAGUUUAACCAAAGGUGCACACUCCUUCAAGCCUGGAGAGAGUCUUUUUUUUUUUUUCAUUUGAAAUGUGUGAAAAGGAGUCAACAAAAUGAAGGUUUAUUUUGAAAUAAAGUGGUAGUUACAUAAACAUUAAAUGAUUUCUUCACACACUGUACCUUUGAUUGUACAUAAUUAUUUUGUCAGUAUGUUUCCUCGGCUGAGAUUAUUGAUUCUGCAUCAAAGAAUGGAAUAACAAACACCCAAACUUCUUUGAAAGGGCCAUUCCCCUCUUUUUCUAUCCACCUCAACAAUAGUCAAGUAUGCAGAAAUAGGUCACUUGAUUGAUUACACCAGAAUCAAUCCUGCAGCUACGGACUGGGCGUUCACUCUAGAUGCUGCUAUGCCCUUGAAGCUGACUGUCUAGAAAAUGGAGCACCAGAGAAGCUUGAGGGUCAUAAGGACAGCAGCCCUGCUCCAGUCACUCUGGAAGAUGACUGGUGUAUACACAUCCGAAGCUUGAGGAGACUAUGGCCCUGCUUCAGCCACAUGGGAAAGACUGGCUGAUCAAUGCACCAUGAAAGAUAAACUUCCCACCAGGACUAAUGAACACUUUCAACCCCUACGAUAGAUCUUCUAAAAUGCAUUUCCAAUCCUUCCUUCUAGAUAUAUACACAA
rnacentral:lncRNA from 1 species